UGUUGCCUGUGUACCCCACAGAUCAUUUAUUAUAGUGUGUCAAAUAUGCCCCUAUUUGGGUGUGAGCCAAAACACACCAUGUGUAUCCCUUUAAAUGCAAAUGAGCUGCUGCUCCCAGCCCUCUUUCCAGAAGAGGGUGGAGCUUUAACAGCUCGCGCUUCGGUUGCUCAACAACAAAGCUGGAGAAUCUUACACAGCCAAAAUGACGAUUGUCAGUAACGGUGUUCAGCCUUACAUUGUUCAAACCGGAGUCGACACUGAUGGAAAGACUCAGGAAGAAGUUACAACUUAUAGAAUGCAACUGGAUAUUUCUGAAUGGUUAGUGGAUAAAUUUAUGUAGUUGUUGUGGAGUUGAUUCAACUCAUCGAUUAGCAUGUGCCGUCAUGUUAAUGUUUUGUGCAAAUCCAGAGUUGAAUUGACCCUUGUUUGUAAAAUGACGGCAAGGUAACAACACUCUACUACAACAACUCUUCCUCUUCUCUAAAGCAGCCCAACAUGGCCUCACCCCCUUUGUUGUGUGUUCCCAGGAACAGGGUUUAUGUAAAUUUUGGGGUUCGUGAUGUCACCAACCCAGGAAGAAGCUUGUUGUAGUCCCUACCAACCGUUUGUUGCAGUCCUUAAAAAGCGAUUUCUGUAAAAGAAAAUAUCUCCCUUUGCACUGAACUUUGAGCGUCGUAACUUGGCAGAUGUUUUUAUGCUGAAACAGCAACAUUACACACUAACUAAAGUUAAAUUACAAAAAUCUGUUCUUAUUCAUACUAAAACUUUUUUUUUUUUUGCUAUUUAUGAUUGCAUCUUUAUUAAUUCUUCUUUGGUUAUUGUGCUCUGUGACUCUUUUUCUUGGUCCAUACACACUGUGUUCUCUUAUUAUCAUUGUUCUGUCCUCUUCUUCUCAUUUCAUUACCAGUUUCAUUCUGUACCUCACAAAGCUCUUGUUUCCCUGCCUUUCUCUCUUCUGAGUCGUCUGUGCAGAUCAGAUGGUGAGAUGUGGAGUGAUGUCAGCAGAGUGCGUCAGUCACAAGAUGCAUGUGCACAGUCUCACUCUCAGGCAAUGAAGGAGGCUCAGUACACACUACUCAAAGUGAUCAGAUCAACACAUUCUAUGUUCACAGAGCCCCCGCAGACUGAGCAGCAACCACCCACCGCGAUGAGCGAGCCAGAGCCCGAGGAUAAGGGAACAGAGCUUGCCAACGCCCUGGAAGCAGUGCCCCAACGUGGUUCUGACCAGGGGUGUUAGCCCGAGACACCAGCAGCCGAGGGAACUGAAACAAAGGACUGGCUGAUGGACUUUGAAGGGGACUUGUCAACUCCCACCCUAUUCCACCCGAUAUCUAAUUCAUCUGCAUUAUUCAAAAAGAACUGUGAGAACUGAGAAUUAUUUUUUGCUCUAUCCUGUGUGAACUUUGUGAUGAUUACCGUUAUCCUCUUUCGUUUCAUCACCACCACCACAGAGCUCAGCCAGUCCCAUCGCUGCCGGAUACUUGCAGCCCUGAGCCGUCUCUGGGGAGUCUCUGCAAUGACGUUGAGUCGUAGGUCGAGCAACCACCAACAGCGCCUAUCCAGGAGGAUCCUUCGGCUCCGCCUCUGGCCUCGGAUCUCUUCGCUCCAUCUCGGCCCGCUGACCUGUUGGCUCUGUCUUGGCUCCUCCCACCUUCGGCUCCACUAGAGACCCUCAGUUUAGUGGCUCCUCCGGGUUCCCUCGUCCAACCAUCCCUUCCCCUUGGUCAGUCGUUACACCACUUCUACCACGGACUUACAGGCCAUCCACUGCGCUCCGUCCCUCCACCCCUUCGGCUGCAGCAGGUUCCUCCUUCCUGUUGGCAUCGCCUCUGUCCUUGCUCACACCGUCGUCGCCCCAGCCCUCGGGUUCUCUGGCUCCACCUACGAUCGCCUGGGUCUCCUGCACCAGCAAUGUCGCUCAGCUCCCUCGACUCUCGGUCUGCACCUACGGAUCCACCGGCUCUGCCUCCCUCCCUCAUCUUUGCCAUUGGCUGUCAGCACUAGGAAGCUCUGGGACUGUGCCAUCGGGCCAACCAUCAUCGUGGUCACCAGUGUCUCAUCGACCAUCACCAUCCCUUCGCCACAUCCUGCCAUCAUCCCUCCUCGCCUGCCUCUCACCAUCCCUUCACCAUCACCUUGUCCAACUCCAAAGCCCUCCCUUUGUUGUUCUGUUACGGUGCGAGGUCACACCUUGCCAGAGAGGGGCGUGAUGUCACCGUUAUGAUCUGUUAGUUUCUGUAUUCAGUUUGUUUUCAUUAUUAAUUCAUAUGUGUCAGUUGUGUCUUAUUAAUUAUCUUUGUUUGUAUUCACUACUUAAGUUGUUCCUUCUCCUGCACUCUUUGUCCGAUCUAUGUUACAGUUAGUGUGUGUUGCCCUGCCUGUCUAUGUAUUCUGUGUUUAUUCAUCAUUAAACCUUUGUGUUGGAAUUA